rnacentral:rRNA from 1 species
UACGUAGGUGGCAAGCGUUGUCCGGAUUUAUUGGGUUUAAAGGGUGCGUAGGCGGUUGUAUAAGUCAGUGCUGAAAUAUCCCAGCUUAACUGGGAGGGUGGCAUUGAUACUGUAUGACUUGAGUAGAGUUGAGGUUGGCGGAAUUGACGGUGUAGCGGUGAAAUGCGUAGAGAUCCGGAAGAACACCGGUGGCGAAGGCGGCUAUCUGGACGGUUUCUGACGCUAAGACGCGAAAGCGUGGGGAGCAAACAGG